CAGGAGCCUUCUGCAACUGACUGGUGCUUUCUGCUUUCUCUGCGCAGAGUGCCAGGAUCUCAUCCGACGGUGUUUAUCCGUGCUCUCCUCGGAAAGGCCCUCAUUAGAAGACCUGUCCUGUGAUCCUUGGAUGCAGGAUAUUCGCGUGCCGUAGGAGAAUGGAGAGAGCCACACGCACGCUUUGAGCCAGGGAGCCGCCCCAGGGAAGAAGAAGCCCCUGGAGAAGCUGUGCCAGGUGCGGCUGCUGCUGCUGGAGACAUGGAGGGUGACAUCAAGGAUGACAAGCUCUUCCUCCACCUGGCAAGCUGAAGAUGAUGGACUUCAAUUGUGGCACCUUCUCCAAAGCCAGGCUCCACGGCGAAUUUGCAGAUGAGUCCACACGCAGGGGGCUGCUCCCAGAUUUGUGCAUUGCACAGCCUGGCCGGGAAGCAAAGGUUCCCCCCUUUGCUGGGGCGGAUGCAACCAAUUCUUCAGUCGGCUGCCAAGCUGCUUUUUGGCAGGGCUGGGGGGAUAGGCUGGGCUGGUUUUGAACUGGGAGUCUGCUCCUGGCCCUGCCAACAGCCCCCAGCACCCACCGUGCCCCACGUUGGGGCUGGGGCAGCCGGCCCGACACAAAGCAAGCCCCAUGGUGGGAGCAGAGGUUGGACAGCAGAAGCUGUGCAUGGGCUGCUUUGCUCUGCAGGCAAGGAAGGGCUUGGGCUACUCCACUGCCCUUGUUGGCUUUGGGCUCAGCAUGACUUUUGGGGGCAGUGCAGGGGGAAGGCAGAAAGCGUGGGCUGCCCUGGCCCGUGGGUGGGUUUUUCCCUCGCAUGGCGGGCUUGGGCCUUCCUCAAGGCCCCAGCAGAGAGAAGAUUUUUUACCUUUUUCCUUGUUUCCCCUUUUUGUCUGUAAUCUCUUUUCAUUGAUUUAUGGUUUGUUUUUCCAAAGGAAGCGUUCUAGGUGCUGUCGGGUCCGGAUGGCGAAGUGCUCGGGAGCAGCUGCGGCGUGGGUGGGACGUGCCCUUGGAGAAGGCUGAGGACAGCGUUUGGGAGCAGCUUUUCUUCUGGCGGCGGGAGGCGUGAGCCGGGCUCUGUGGAUGCUGAG